AUACGGAGGAUCCGAGCGUUAUCCGGAUUUAUUGGGUUUAAAGGGUGCGCAGGCGGCCAUUUAAGUCAGCGGUUAAAUCGUGGGGCUCAACCCCAUUCUGCCGUUGAUACUGGGUGGCUUGAUUGCGGUCGAGGAUGGCGGAAUUCGUUGUGGAGCGGUGAAAUGCAUAGAUAUGACGAAGAACACCGAUUGCGUAGGCAGCUGACCAGACCGCAAAUGACGCUCACGCACGAAAGUGCGGGGAUCGAACAGGAUUAGAUUCCCUGGUAGUCCGCACAGUAAACGAUGAAUACUUGUUUUCGGCGAUAUAAUGUCGGAGGCAAAGCGAAAGCGAUAAGUAUUCCACCUGGGGAGUACGCCGGCAACGGUGAAACUCAAAGGAAUUGACGGGG
rnacentral:rRNA from 1 species